rnacentral:miRNA from 1 species
AGUUUGUAUUGUUUCUUUUG